AUUGAACGCUGGCGGCAGGCCUAACACAUGCAAGUCGAACGGGUGGCGGACGGGUGAGUGAUGUCUUGGAAACUGCGUGAUGGAGGGGGAUGAGUACGGGAACCGGUGGCUAAUGCCGCUUACCACCAGAUGGGCCCAGGUGGGAUUAGCUGGUUGGUGGGGUAACGGCUCACCAAGGCGACGAUCCCUAGCUGGUCUGAGAGGAUGACCAGCCACACUGGAACUGAGACACGGUCCAGACUCCUACGGGAGGCAGCAGUGGGGAAUAUUGCGCAAUGGGCGCAAGCCUGAUGCAGCCACGCCGCGUGUAUGAAGAAGGCUUUCGGGUUGUAAAGUACUUUCGUCGGGGAGGCGUUACCUACAGAAGAAGCACCGGCUAACUCCGUGCCAGCAGCCGCGGUAAUAC
rnacentral:rRNA from 1 species